AAUCUAGUAAGUUGGUAUUGAAAUUAUACAGGUACUAUUUUUGUGAAGUUAUGAUUGAAAAAAUCAAUACCGAUUAAUGUUUAUUUAAACAAAUGGUUUUAAAUUGCUCUAACCAAUAUUUACUUGGAUAUAUACUUUUACCUUGUACUAAAACAUAUCUAGAUUUUUUUCAACACCUUUGAAAUUUUUUUGGUUGUACACAAAUUGUAUAAUAGGUUCAAUUUGGUGUAUUUUACUCGUUGGCCUUUGAUAUAAAUUUAAUUUUUGAGUGGUUGAUAUGAAUUUCAUUCUUAAAAAUUUGGAAGAAUAUAUACUUAGAAAAUUUGAUUUAUAUAAAUUGUGGACAUCAUUUUCAGCAAAAUAUUUUAAUUUAUAGUAAAUUUACCAAAUACAUUUUAUUCUCAGUCCAAUAUUUGGCAGACAUACUCUUGACUAAUAAUAGAACCCAAUUUUUUUUCAUACAUUUAAUUAUUAUAAAUUUGUAUUUUACCUACUAGUUGAAAAACUAUGAUAUCUAAACAAUUAUUACAUGAAAAAAAAAAAUGAAUAAUAAAUACCUUAACAAUGAUAUAAAAAAAAUCAAAUUAUAAAGUGAGCUUCCAGGAUAAAAGCGAUUAUAAGUUUAGUAGUGGUUUUGGAUUUAGUAUUAAGAAUGGAUGGAAUAUUGAAGGGGAUAUUAAGUGUUGAGGGAAUUAAGACGUCCGGUCUGCAGAGCAGGGCAAAUAAAUAAAUUCUAGAAAAAGUCAUAGAUACAUUCUUUAAGAUAGAGAAUACAGAAUGGAGAAUAUAGUUAUAAAAAUAAUACAUUUCAAACUUAAAAUUAUUUAAUAGUUAUUAUUUCUGAAUCAUCUUUAUUUUACACAGAACUCCAAAGUUUAAACUAUGAGUUAUAUUAAGAUUUAUAAAAUACAUUUUGGUGAUUGAAUUACCAUUUUUGAAAAAUGUAUUAUCUGCCUAUUAAUGAGACUUACAAAUUUUGAAAUUAAUUAUCUGUACUUAAUAUAUAUUAAUGUAUUGGGAAUUAAACUGUCAAAACAUUUAUUAAUUAUUAGUAAAUAUAUUUUGUACUUGAUUUGGAAGAUUAAAACGAAAACAACAAUAACAAAUUCAAUUUUCUAGGUUUUACAUUUAUACAAC